ACGUCAAAUCAUCAUGCCCCUUAUGUCUUGGGCAACACACGUGCUACAAUGGCUCAUACAGAGUGAAGCGAGACUGUGAAGUGGAGCAAACCACGAAAAUGAGUCCCAGUUCGGAUUGUAGUCUGCAACCCGACUACAUGAAGUUGGAAUCGCUAGUAAUCGCAAAUCAGCAUGUUGCGGUGAAUACGUUCCCGGGCCUU
rnacentral:rRNA from 1 species